rnacentral:rRNA from 1 species
UAAGGAAUAUUGGUCAAUGGACGAAAGUCUGAACCAGCCAUGCCGCGUGGAGGAUGAAGGCCCUCUGGGUUGUAAACUUCUUUUAUAUGGGACGAAAAAAGAUCUUUCUAGAUCACCUGACGGUACCAUAUGAAUAAGCACCGGCUAACUCCGUGCCAGCAGCCGCGGUAAUACGGAGGGUGCAAGCGUUAUCCGGAUUCACUGGGUUUAAAGGGUGCGUAGGUGGGUUGGUAAGUCAGUGGUGAAAUCUCCGAGCUUAACUUGGAAACUGCCAUUGAUACUAUCAGUCUUGAAUAUUGUGGAGGUCAGCGGAAUAUGUCAUGUAGCGGUGAAAUGCUUAGAUAUGACAUAGAACACCAAUUGCGAAGGCAGCUGGCUACGCAUAUAUUGACACUGAGGCACGAAAGCGUGGGGAUCAA